rnacentral:rRNA from 1 species
UACGUAGGGUGCAAGCGUUGUCCGGAAUUAUUGGGCGUAAAGAGCUCGUAGGCGGUUUGUUGCGUCGGCUGUGAAAUCCCGAGGCUCAACCUCGGGUCUGCAGUCGAUACGAGCAAACUAGAGUGUUGCAGGGGAGACUGGAAUUCCUGGUGUAGCGAUGAAAUGCGCAGAUAUCAGGAGGAACACCGGUGGCGAAGGCGGGUCUCUGGGCAACAACUGACGCUGAGGAGCGAAAGCUAGGGGAGCAAACGGG